rnacentral:rRNA from 1 species
GACGAACGCUGGCGGCGUGCUUAACACAUGCAAGUCGAGCGGAAAGGCCUGCUUUCCCUUGUGGAUUGCGGGUACUCGAGUGGCGAACGGGUGAGUAACACGUGAGUGAUCUGCCCCCAACUUGGGUAUAAGCCUGGGAAACUGGGUCUAAUUCCCGAUAGGACUGCAGGGUGGUGCCUGUGGUGGAAAACGAUUUUCUAGUGGUUGGGGAUGAGCUCGCGGCCUAUCAGCUUGUUGGUGGGGUAAUGGCCUACCAAGGCGGCGACGGGUAGCCGGCCUGAGAGGGUGGACGGCCCCAUUGGGACUGAGAUACGGCCCAGACUCCUACGGGAGGCAGCAGUGGGGAAUAUUGCACAAUGGGCGGAAGCCUGAUGCAGCGACGCCGCGUAGGGGAUGACGGCCUUCGGGUUGUAAACUCCUUUCGACCGCGAGGAAGCCACCUGGUUGGAAGGGUGGUGACGGUAGUGGUAGAAGAAGCACCGGCUAACUACGUG